GCGCAUGCGCACCCAGAGAAGGGCAGGGAAGAGGGGUCGAAUAUCUUCGUUGGGGGCUGGCGGGAUCGGGGGAAGUAGAAGUCGCAACGUUCUAGCUGCGUCACUAUGGAUACACUGCCACUUACUACCCUCUGCCUUUCCUCCACAAAACCCUUGGACACAGAUUAUUUAAAUGAAGACCAAAUCUUCAUGAAGGAAAGAAGAAAGAAAAUAACCAUAAAUACAGAAAAAAUAACAAUUUGUUUUUUGACUCCAUGGAUUUAGCAGGAAUGAGAUUAGGGUUUCUAACUUUCCAGGAUUGUCCUGGAGUUACCAAGAAUUAAAGUUUAAUCUUUAAUUAAAGAUUUUGUCAUGAUGAACCUCCAAAAGUACCCCCAAUCAGAAUUGGCAACCCUAAAUGAGAUAUUAACAAUAAAACAGUUUGUGUACUCCAGA